AUAUAUAAUCUGCUGAAUUGGGGUAUAGCUUAGGCAUAAAGCACUUGCCUGUCAUGUGCAAGGCCUGGGUUCCAUUCUUAGCACUGUAGAGGGAAACAAUAAAUGGCUGCCCACAAUUCAGUUUGUGAACACUAGCUUUAAAUAGCUGUAGGGAAGCCACUGAACACUUCUAUAGGAUGCAUUGAGCUUUUUUCUAUUAAUAUUUCAUUAUUCUAUUUGGAUUUAAGAUUUUACAGUUAGAAAUUUGCUUACCCAUUUUCUAUAAAAUUACCUAGACCUUUGAGUUUUAGUUCAGAAAGAAAAUUUUAUUUCAGUCAUCCUGAAUCAAAAUCUCAUUUUUUUCAGCCAGUUUCUUUUUAAAAAUAUAUUUUUUUAAAGAGAGAGAGAGAGAGAAUUUUUUUUAAAUGUUUUUAUUUUAGUUCUCAGCGGACACAACAUCUUUGUACAUGGUGCUGAGGAUCGAACCCGGGCUGCACGCAUGCCAGGCGAGCGCGCUACCGCUUGAGCCACAUCCCCAGCCCUCAGCCAGUUUCUAUCAUGUGAUUUUAUUAUAAUUUGUCUUAAGAAUACUGUGGAAAACAAAAUAUAAUGGUCCUUGUAGAAUCUGGAAGAAAAUUAGAAUUAAUAUAAAUGUUCAUUGUUUAUGCAAUAGUAGCUAAGAGGAUUAAAAAUCUAGAAAAUAUGACUACUAUGUAGAUAAGUAUGCUAUUUCAAGGAGUUAAUAGUAAUUCAUCAGGCUUACUUGCAGCCCAAGUGAAUUAGUUUGCAAGAACCUCUGAAUCCCCUUUGUUGUUAAGGAUACCCUACUGGACAAAUAACCCUCUUCUUAAAAAAAAAAGAAACAAAAAGAUUUUAUACAGCAUUGUUUGGUAACCAAAAAAAAAAAAAAAAUAGCAGGUACAGAGGAGGGCUGGGGUUGUAACUCAGUGGUAGAGCGCUUGCCUAGCACGUGUGAGGCGCACUGGGUUCGAACUAUAGCACCAUAUAUAAAUAAAAUAAAAGGUACAUUGACAACUAAAAAAAAAAUUAAGAAGUGGGGGUGGGGAGGAGAAACUUGAUAGCAUACCUGUAUAUAUUGAAGCAUACCUGUAUAUUAGUGUCACAGAAAUGGGAUGUCUAGACUUACAUUGGUAACCUGCUUCUCAGUCCCCAGAGUUUGGUGGUGUGCUUCAUUUCCACUAAUGACAACUUGACCUUCUGGACUUGACUAUAAAUGGUAGUGUCAGAUCAAAGUUCCAUCUGAAAACCAGGCUGAUUGCUAGUAAUACUUUUCACUCGUUGCCCUUAUAAUUAGGAUUAGAUUUUUGGCUACAUGUUUACCCUGACAUCACAGUGGUAUAAUGGGCAUCAUUUUCCAAAAAAAAAGAAAACAAGUUCCCAAAUAUGAGAAACAAAAUGAGGUAGCAGUGGAGCCCUGGCAAACCCCAAAGAUUUCAAAAGUGUCAGUGCAAAAAAAAAAACUAAGCCACUGACAUUUGAGCAGCUAUUAUCUUGAUUUUCUUUUCUAAUGUGGAGCCAUUCUUCUGCAUGUCUUACAUCCUUGGAGAAAUUUGAUAUAAAUAAGUAGAGGUAAGAUGAGCUGAAACCAAAAUUAUUAUCUCUAAAGUAUAAUAGAUUAUGGAAACAGUAGUUUGUUUUUCUGAAUAAAAACAAGACAACUUUUAAGUUCUCUUUUUGGAAAAAAAAUAGAGAAAAUUUCAACUUGAUUUUGUAAAUUAUUCCAUUUUUAAUAUCCUCAACUCAGGAUGACAUUAUUAUGCCUCUAUAACUCAGGAAUGUCUAUGUAAAGCUGUCCUUACAUAAAGACCUCAGGGAUCACACAAGUGAUUUUUGUUUGAUUUUAGAAAGUUGUAACUCUUAUUUUCUACCCUGGUCAUUACUUCAUGAUUAGUGACCAGUCAUUUCUUCCUGGAUCUCAGGUCUGUUUGAUUAUCUUAUUAUGUUUUGUGCUUUUAUUCAUUAUUUUUAACCUACUUGAUUCUAAAAGAAGGGAAGGGAGGCGAGAAAAACUGGUGAGUAGGGCUGAAUGUUGGCCAGAAGAUGUAGUAGAGUUGCUAGGGGUGAUGCUUUUCAUAUUAUGUCUCAUCUUCUCCCCUGUACCCCGCUUUUUUUGUGUGUGUGGUGCUGGGGAUUGAACCCAGGGCUUUGUGCAUGCAAGGCAAAUACUCUACCAACUGAGCUAUAUAUCCCCAGCCCCUUCUUCCCCCUUUUGUAUACCACUCUGGGUUGAGUGAGAUGGAUGUACCCGUUGGCCCUGCUUUUGAGAAUCUUUAUGUAAUGGCAUACAUAGCUGAUAGAGGUAAUUGUUUAUUUCAGUAGUUCAGGGGCAGGAAAAAGUUGGGAACAACUGCUGUACCCCUAGCUGCUGAGAAUCCAGUGAGCCCGUAUUUCCUUUGGGUUCAGAAAAUUCCCAUGUGUCCUAGAAGACAGGAAGAAGCAUCAGAAUCUCUGGCAGCCAGAAGUUCACUAAUUGCCUAACAACUGCCUGACGAAUAAGAGGGGGACAAUGACUGGUUAACACUUUUGACAACCACUUGGUCUCCUGAUCAGAUUUGGGUUCAUCUAAGAGUGACUGCAAAGCCAUCUGUGCCAUGAGGGAGACUUCAUUUGGAACUGUUUUGAAGUUUUAGCUAAUAGUGGAUGCAUAUUUCUAUAUAUGCUCCCAUGCAGGCCCCCCUCUUUGUUUUAUCUUUCCACUGCUGUGGUGGCAACAUCCCCAAAUACAGCCUCUGAUUAAUCCAUAGUUGUGUUCAGCACACGCUGAAGAUGUCAGCAUCUUCAAAUUAUUCAGUAAAUAAGAAGAAAAGAGACUAUCCAUGCACAGUCUUAGCCAUUUGGGCUUAUGAAUUAACACCCCAAAACUUACAACAAAUAUAUAUUACAGAGAAAAAGCAAUCAAAUUAGCUUUAUUUUUCCACCUUUUUCAAUACACUUAAUUCAUACAUAUUUCUGUAGCAUCUAUUCUGCUCAGUGUUUUGAUAACCAGUCAUCUCUCAUAGACUCAUGAGGCAAAGUUGCCCAAAGUAUAGCGUAUUUUACUUGCCAGCUGUUUGCCUUUGUUUUUCCCAGGAGGUAUAGGAUGGUUGAAAUGGAUCUUGAAAAAGCUAAGAAAUUAAAAGGAAAUAGACUGAUUAACCAUGGUUGCGUGUUUUUUGCAUUCAGGCUUAAUGUUUCCAGAGCUCUGCCAAAGUGUUUAUUUAGCAAACUGUAACAUCUGAAACACCUGGAAUGACUUUGUAUAAACAUCAUUAGUUAGUAAUAUUUGAAAUAUUUUAAUGGAACUAUACUUCCUAUUGACUAUAUUUGGCAUUAAGCUGACAUUCCAGUGGCCUAGAAGCCUACUAUAGGCUUAUUUCUGGCUCCUUAUUUUCCCAAUUAUUUGACUUUUCCAAAACCACUUUUUGUGUAUUGCACUAUAUGAAUGGAAAGGAGGAGGGGACUUCAAGAGUCUUGUAAAAUAGAAGAGACCUUCCUAUUUGAAAAUGUGUAAGAACUUGCUGGGUUUUUAGUUUGUACAUGCAAAAUUAAGUCUAGUGAAACAUGUCUGAACACAUAUCUCUGCCAUUCUUAUUUUUACAGUUUAUUACACGUCCUGGUUCUGGAGAGUAGCAUCCUAGUCUUGUUAUUAACUUGGUUCCUUUAUUGCAGUAAAUAUUUACAAAGUGCCUUAUACAGUUUGUCAACAGAAAUUUUGUGUCCAAAUAGAUGUGUUUCCUGGUAGGCAAU
rnacentral:lncRNA from 1 species